UUGAACGCUGGCGGCAGGCCUCACACAUGCCAGUCGAGCGGAUGAAGGGAGCUUGCUCCUGGCUUCAGCGGCGGACGGGUGAGUAAUGCCUAGGAAUCUGCCUGGUAGUGGGGGAUAACGUCCGGAAACGGGCGCUAAUACCGCAUACGUCCUGAGGGAGAAAGUGGGGGAUCUUCGGACCUCACGCUAUCAGAUGAGCCUAGGUCGGAUUAGCUAGUUGGUGGGGUAAAGGCCUACCAAGGCGACGAUCCGUAACUGGUCUGAGAGGAUGAUCAGUCACACUGGAACUGAGACACGGUCCAGACUCCUACGGGAGGCAGCAGUGGGGAAUAUUGGACAAUGGGCGAAAGCCUGAUCCAGCCAUGCCGCGUGUGUGAAGAAGGUCUUCGGAUUGUAAAGCACUUUAAGUUGGGAGGAAGGGCAGUAAGUUAAUACCUUGCUGUUUUGACGUUACCAACAGAAUAAGCACCGGCUAACUUCGUG
rnacentral:rRNA from 1 species